CGUAGGUGCGAGCGUUAUCCGGAAUUAUUGGGCGUAAAGAGCUCGUAGGCGGUUUGUCGCGUCUGUCGUGAAAGUCCGGGCUUAACCCCGGAUCUGCGGUGGGUACGGGCAGACUAGAGUGCAGUAGGGGAGACUGGAAUUCCUGGUGUAGCGGUGGAAUGCGCAGAUAUCAGGAGGAACACCGAUGGCGAAGGCAGGUCUCUGGGCUGUAACUGACGCUGAGGAGCGAAAGCAUGGGAGCGAACAGGAUU
rnacentral:rRNA from 1 species